CUAAAUAAGACCUUUCAUAUUGCAUAUGUUCAAGAAAAGAAGCCCAAAAUACAUCAUCAGAAGAUUGAUACAUAAUAAUCUAUUUUUUUUAGAUCCAAGAGCCAUUGCUCUUUGAAGGGUCAACUAAUCACUAUUUUCCCCAUUCUUUGUCUCCCUCAUAGGACAAUUAUGAUGUCGUACUUGGAAAAACCAGAGCCCUGCUAAAAUGGCAUAUGGCAUUUAACAAUAUAAAUCUCCAUUUUCAAUGCUUGCAUAAAUCUAAUGAUUUUUUUCUCUUGAGCAAAGAGUCUUUAAUGCCUUCCUGGUGUGUUUUGCAGAGCACUGGAUCAACAUCACACAUGGAAUAUAUUUGUAAAGAGACAGGCAGGAUUAUGUCAUACCCAGAAGGGAUAAUAAUCAGGUUUCACAAGCUCAGCAUCAAAUACAGGUCUUCCAUACCAGAGGCCACCUGCUCCAACAGAACAGCAGCCCUUUAUGAAUUAGACAUUCAACCACAUUCUUCAACGCUAAAGUGCCCUGCUUCCAUCUCUGCAAAAUGAACCUAGCACUUUCAACAAGUGUGGAUCCUCUGAGAAGUAGUUGCUGACGAUCUAUCUACUCAGAAGGGCUGUGAAGGUUUAUUGUGAAGUAAAAUUAAAAAAAAAAAAGAAAUUUGUUUAAAAAAAAAAAGAAGAAGAAGAAAGAAAAGUAGGUGAGGAGGAAUUAGCAGGAUUCUGCAGGAGAAAUGUUCAGUCCAAGGUUUGAACUUAUUAAAUUCUGUCAAUCCAACAGAGAAGUCUGAAAGAAAGGUUACUCAUUAGAAGAGUCCUUUGUUAAGCAGAAAUGACCCAACUUGUAUACCACAGUUUACUCAACUAUCUGCUGCAUCCAAAGAGUGGCCUUGGCUCAAAGUUUGUGAUGAAUGAGAAAGACCUGGUAAAUGGAAGCCAUCGUCUGAACCACGCUCUGCAGAGCUGGUCAAGGAUGCUGUCCUUGCAUCACCAUGGCACAUCCCUGUGAUGUGCAGCCACGCCUGACUCUGAGCGACUCUACAGACUGUAGCCCACUAGGCUUCUCUGUCCAUGGGGAUUUUCCAGGCAAGA
rnacentral:lncRNA from 1 species